CUGGGUUUGGUUGAAGCCAGUCUGUCUGAAUUUUUACAGAUAGUAGUUCCCACCCAGAGGACAGCAAGCACAGUGAAUGUCUGAUGCCGCGGGACGGUGCUUCAACCUUGAAGAUGCCCUGAGAGUUCUGCAGCCCUAGGAGCAGACUGUGAAUCCUUACAGCCCCUCCCCCAUCACCACUCACCCUCCUGCUCCCAGGGCCAAGGGCGGCACAGCAAACAGGACAGAACAGAAUUGAACACAGUGGUUUUGGCGAGCAAGUCAGCAUGCAAACGGGAAUAAGAGCCCUGGGACUUUCCUAAGACAAACAAAGGAUUUAAAAGAAAUAACAAUAUUUAAUAGAACUCAAAACCCCCAAGUCCAGAUUAAGAAAACAACUUGCUACAAACAACGGAAGAUACUAAAAUUAGCUGUAUUUUUUAACUAGAAACUCUCUCAUCACAGCACCCAAAAAAAGGUACAUCAAGUUUAAGAAAUGUUUUAUGAUGGGAAUAGAAAUGUUCAGCUCCAGGAAGAAUAACUACUGAAUCCUCCACUGACUGGAGCUUCCCAAGUGUCACUAGUGGUAAAGAAUCCGCCUGCCAAUGAAGGAGACAUAAAGAGACCUGGGUUUGAUCUCUGGGUUGAAAAGAUCCCCCUGGAGGAGGGCAUGGCAACCCAUUCCAGUAUUCUUGCCUGGAGAAUCCCAUGGACAGAGGACCCUGUAGGGCAACAGUUCAUGGGAUGGCAAGCAGUUGAACAUGAAUGAAGCAACUCAGCUGAUCCACUCAGUGGCCUUCCCCAAAUCUUUGUUCAUUCCUGCUUCCCUAAGUGCCUGGUUUCCUGUCAAAUUGCUAUUGUCCCGAAGCCUUCAUGUUUCCUCUUGAUCAUAUUUCUUCCCCCAAGCCCUUUUUCAGCAAUGAGUUAAAGCUCCAGACAGUUGUCAAGUAUUCCUCUUGUGCAGGCCAAGCUUUCCAAGGAGUGACACCACAAAGUGAAGACACAAACGGAUGUGACGAGGCACUUGAUGUUGGACUUGGCACAGCCCUGGGCAGAGAAAUGGAGCUGCAGGGGAGGAUCCACACGCAGCCAGAUCCACAUUAUUCCCAGAAGAGUCAUUGGGAUAUAACUGCACGUGGCUCAAGUUCAGAGUCCUGGGUCAAAGCCCUUGGGAAAUCCUAUGGUCCAGAGUCUCUCACGCCAGCUGACACUGGCAUCAGUAAACAUUAUAGACCAAGGGUCAGAAAACUAUGGGCUCUAAGCCAAAUAGGACCCUUGCCUAUUUUUGUAUGACUGGCAAGCUUCGAGUCAUUUUUAAAUAUUUGAAAAAAAAAUUAAGUAAUAUUGUUGACAUUAAAAUGGUAUACAAUUAAAGUCUGUGUCUAAAAUUAAAGUUUUGCUGCAUACCAC
ensembl:lncRNA